UGCUCGCGUUCUUCCAAGGUAACAUCUUAACAUCUCUUCAAAGUUCUCUUCUGAUGAAAUCUUGCCAAGUUGCAACUUGUAAGCUGGAAAGUUGCGUUUUCGUGGGCUGUGCAAAAUCUCAAGCAAAAAAUCAAGUUUCGAACGGUUUCAAUCAAUAAGCAACACUUUUACUCAACUUAAGUCAACUUUAACUACGCAAGGACGAAAAUAACUACAAAAAGGACUAAAAAGCAUCAAAAACCAACAAAUUUUUUAUCCUGAAACUAAACAAAAAAAACAAUUUAUUACCCCACGAAACAUUUUCAAGGAUAACGACAACUUGGAAGGACGAAGAGAGGACGGGCUCAUGACAGUUAACUCAUCGGAACCGUAAAACAAAAAUCAUUUGUCAAAAAAAUUAAACUUUGACAAAUUCCCUAAAAAAAAACAAGCAAAAAGGACCAAAAACAAGAAAAUAAAAGAAAAAACUCCAAAAUUAAUUUUCGACGAUGAACCGACUCCAAGGACAAAAUUCGUCCUUAAUUAAUCAAAAUUGUCUGAUAUGCGAACGUCAACAAGUCGCCACUGCGCAUAAAAAAACAAAACGUAAACAAAAGUAACAAAUUUAAACAAAUUCCAAAAAUCAAUAGAAAAUUUCACUAAAAAAAUCACAAAAACUAAAAAAAAGGAUAAUAAAUAAGGAUGAAAACAGAAAAUAUUUCAAUUUCCGUCAAAAUUCAUUAGAUUGAUCAAUUUUGAAACAAUUUUUACAAAAAUUUAAAUUUUUUGAUAAAAAACACAAAAAACACAAAAACUCAAAAUAAUAGCUUGUUUCAAACCGCCUCCGUUGUGUUUCGCCGCCGUCGAGCAGCCUCACCUUAGCCAAGCAUCUCUCGCGCCCUCUUCUUUUCCUUAUUUCGCAUAUUUCCCCGGCAACGCGGCACUUUCCCCCCUGUCCGCCCGCGUUCUGCACACGGUCGAUGGUUUUCCUCGUUUUCCUCCGCUUCCUUCAUUCCUUCACUGCGUCGCGUACGUUUUUUAGGCGCGGGGGUGCAGUGGGGUGUGUGUAUGCUGUAGGGGAGGGCGGCUGGUGCGGGCGUCUUCCCUCUUUUUCUUCGGGGCGCGCGGGGAGGAAAAUAUGGCGAAGAAACGCGGCGCGCGAGCGUCGCAAAGGGAGUGGCUUGUAUGCCGCCUCCACCGCUGCCACCGCCACCGCCGCCGUCGUCGUAAGAAAUCAAUGAUUGCACAAAUUUUCCCUGCCGAGCAUAUAAUAACUCUCAAUAAUCAAAAUUGUUAAAAAAUUCAAUUUUAAACAAAAAAUUAUUUUAGGGGUGGAAAAUCAUUUUAAAAAAAAAAAUUCAAUAUUUAUUCAAAACAAUACUCAAAAAAUUAUUUUUUAUAGUUUUAUAGCUCAAAAAUUUAAUUUUUAAUUUUUUUAAUUUUUCAUCCCUUAAUUUGAAUUAUGGGAUGAUUUUAUACAUAAAAAUAUUCAAGAAAUUUAGUAAUUUGUAGCUUGUACAAGUUUUCCGACUCAUAAAUUACAUCAAGCACCACUUGUGUAUUCUCAAGACGUUGUUUCACCCUUUUGGUAGAAGGGGCGCAGAAUUUGCCACCCCCUGACGCACCGUUCGCGAAAAUAAUAGCGCCGUACACGCCGACUUUGCCCAUUAAUUACGCGCCGUGAUUUCCACCAAAUAUUUCAUACUUUCAACCCUCUACCGUCAAAAUACAAAACCACCCUUAAAUUUUAAUCAAAAAAAAUAUCAAAAAUAAAAAAAUAUUCAAAAAAAAACAUGAUAAUAAUAAGAUAAGUUUAUUGAGCGUGAAAUGGGUGCAUAAAACAUACAAAAAAUAAAAAAAUAAAAAACAUCCCCUAACUCACAAAACCACUGACAGAGAGUGAAAACCGCAAAAAAACAAUGCGAAAGAGGGUUGUUAUUCAAAUACAUCACUAACCUGUUGAGUUAAAGUCUUUUUUCAUGCAGAAAUUCAAAAAAUAAAAAAAUCCCUUAAAUUUUCAAACAAUUUUCACGAAUUUUAUUUUAAUAAACUAAAACACAACUUGACGCAAGAAAUAAGAGCAGCACUUGAAUUAUAAAUAAACAAGCUCAUCUUUAAUUCCAUGAAUCUUAAAUUUCCACCUCUAUUUUAGGGGAUGAAGCAAAUUUUCACCUCUUAAACUAUUCUCUAAAAUAUUACAAAACAUAUUUAUGAAAGAAAUUUAUUUUACAUCGUUUAACAAGCAGAAAAUGAAAAAAAAGUGUUUUUACAAAUUAAAGCCCAAAUUGAAAGCAACCCUCAAACCGAAAAAUCACCGCCUGUAAAAAAUCCACGUUUCAAUUAAGCGCGCACUUAAUCAACCCCGAAAUUACCCCAAUUAACGAGUUAAUCUGGCGGCACGCGUUUAAAAACUCGCCGCUCGCUCACUUUCCACCCCAUUCUCAUGCCGUUUUUUCGCAUUUAGCUAAACCCCAAAUUGUGUUCGCAAAAAUCACACACAACACACACAGACAUGGUUUGGCGGUGAGCAUACCGGAGGGAAAAUAAAAUCAACCCCAAAAGGUGAAAAAUCUCCUCGGCUAAUUUAGCAAAAAUAUCAACAAGUGUAUGUUACAACGCUUAAAAAAUUACUUAAAAUUGAUCAAUCUAAUUAUUUUAUUACAUAAAACAAUAAAUUAACUCAUAAAUAAGGUCAAUAUAUUUAAAAAAUAACGAAUUUCCUUAUGAUUUUCCAAAAAAACGAAAAUUUAAAAAAAUUUGAAAAAUUAAAAAAAAAUCGAAAAAUAAAAAAUGUAAUCACACAACAUGAAUGAUGAUAUGAUAUGAAAUGAGACAAUUAGCUGUAAGGAAUUUAGUUAUUAAGAAAUAUAUUGAAAACAAAAGAAGAAAGAAGAAAAUUACUUGAACAUCGCCGCCGGAUGAAGAAACGAAGAACCGAAGACCAAGACACACAAAAAGAAGAUGACAAAAUUAAUCACCAAGUAACUUAACUUAACUUAAGUAACGUCGUAAUUUUAACUGAUUUAAUGAUGAUAAAUAAAUAAAGCAACGAAAACAAUGAAAUGAAAAAUCAAGUGAAUACACAUACAACUGUUUAAUGAGAUGAUAAUUAAUUACUAAUGUUUAAUCAGUUUUUAUAAUGUUAAAAUUUAAUGAUACUAGUUUAACGUGUUUUUUUUUCUCUUUGUACUAGCCCCUAGGACACUCCGAUUAUUUAUUGAGACAUAUUUUAUAACGUUUGACAUUUUUACAUUUAAGUUCUUCGACGUAUCGUGCUAUGAUUUAUGUAUUUUUGUUUUGGUACGAUAUGGAUUUUUUGAUUUGAUGUUUAUGGAUUAAUAAAGGCACAAUAAAAGCGUUUCGGCAUUUUUUGGAAUUGAAA